rnacentral:rRNA from 1 species
GGGCCCGCACAAGCGGUGGAGUAUGUGGUUUAAUUCGACGCAACGCGCAGAACCUUACCCAACCUUAACUUCCCGAGAACGGAAAGGAGACUUUCCGGUGCCAGUAAUGGAACUCGGUGAUAGGUGCUGCAUGGCUGUCGUCAGCUCGUGUCGUGAGAUGUUCGGUUAAGUCCGGUAACGAGCGCAACCCCUAUUCUUAGUUGCCAGCGGUUCGGCCGGGGACUCUAGAGAAACUGCCAGCGUAAGCUGUGAGGAAGGUGGGGAUGACGUCAAAUCAUCACGGCCCUUACGUCCUGGGCUACACACGUGCUACAAUGCUACGGACAAAGGGCAGCAAGUUCGCGAGGACAAGCAAA